rnacentral:misc_RNA from 1 species
GAGUGUCCGUAUGGUUUCUGGGUGCUCUCGCUCGCGUCCGCGUGCCACCCCUCUCCCCUAAAGCGCUCGUCAGCCACGCAAGAGCACAACGCGUGCGAAAGCAGCGGCAGCAAACACACGCAACACCCACACAAACACCACGCGUAAGAAUCGAACCUCACAUCACGGCUGUGCUGGUGCUGUGGAGCGACGGCAACGAGACUACCAGAAAACGUCUCCCUUCCCCCUCCCCCAAUUGCCGAGCACGCUCUUUUCUUUUUGUCUCUCGCCCAUGCAGCCAAAUAGUGCGCCAGUGUCGUACGGGGCCCAGCUGCGGGCCUCGAUGCAGACGCUUCGCGCGAACGACAUCCAGUUUGAGCAGUUUACGCGCGGCCUUGGGGCGGUGCUGCAGCAAUGGACUGCUCUGCAGCUCGUGGCCCAGCACUGUGACAGUCGUGCCCCUGCUGUGCUGUACGAGGAUUUGUGCGCCUGGCACAAGCGCGACGGAGAGGUGUACGUGGAUGACAUGGAGGUGUACUUCGAGGAGUUCUUCGACAACAUUCACUCCGCCCGCAUCGAGGAUGAUAGCAUGCAGGAGGUGGGGUCGGUGCUGCACGACAUGUACUGCCGCUGCUGCCUCAACGACUUUAGCAUGGUGGAGCACUACCUGCAGACGCUGACGAUGUAUGCGCAGACAAACCCGGUUGCCAUGUCCGUGAACGGUGGCACUGCCGAAAACCUCGAAGACGAUGCCGAGGAGGACGCCGAGGUGGGCGGUGAUGCGGACUCUGAGGAGGGCGUGGACAAUGAGGAUGAGGAGUCGGAACCAAUGCAGACCUCGGCACCGCAGGCUCCGCAGCAGCCACCACAGGCACCGCGCCAUCAGCAGCAGCCUCAGCGCAAGAAGCGCAAGAACGCCUCGGUUCGAUCCAAGGAUGGCUGGAACAUUGUCCAGUAGAGGCGCAUAUGUGUGUGUUAAUGCAGGGGGAUGCCAUCGAGGCAGCGUGCGACGCACGGCUUGAUGAGGGGCAGCAAAAGCAAGCAGCCCUCUUUGCUUGUUUUUCCGUUUUUUUAUUGUCGUUUCUUUGCUGUGCCCGUCCAUCCUUCGCCCCACUGCUGCUACUGCUUGUUUCGCCCGACCGCGACACCCCCUCCCUCGUUCAUCGCCCAUUCUACUGGUCCGCUUCUUUUUCCGAGGUCGUUCUUCCGCGUCGAGAUGUUUGGCCCGUCUCCUUCUACUCGAUGCUUCGGACGGAGCUCGCCUGUUCUCUCAGUUGUUUAUGUCUUCGUUUACCAACGUUUAACGCAACUAAAAGGCAAUGCCAUGACCUGGAAGCAGUGAUAACCACCGCCCCCAAC